rnacentral:rRNA from 1 species
UACGUAGGGGGCGAGCGUUGUCCGGAAUCAUUGGGCGUAAAGAGCGUGUAGGCGGCUUGGCAAGUCUGACGUGAAAGCCCGCGGCUCAACCGCGGAUUGUCGUUGGAAACUGCCUCGCUAGAGUCCGGAAGAGGAGAGCGGAAUUCCUGGUGCAGCGGUGGAAUGCGCAGAUAUCAGGAAGAACACCCGUGGCGAAGGCGGCUCUCUGGGACGGUACUGACGCUGAGACGCGAAAGCGUGGGGAGCGAACAGG